rnacentral:rRNA from 1 species
GAUGAACGCUGGCGGCGUGCCUAAUACAUGCAAGUCGAGCGAACAGACGAGGAGCUUGCUCCUCUGACGUUAGCGGCGGACGGGUGAGUAACACGUGGACAACCUACCUAUAAGACUGGGAUAACUUCGGGAAACCGGAGCUAAUACCGGAUAAUAUAUUGAACCGCAUGGUUCAAUAGUGAAAGACGGUUUUGCUGUCACUUAUAGAUUGAUCCGCGCCGCAUUAGCUAGUUGGUAAGGUAACGGCUUACCAAGGCAACGAUGCGUAGCCGACCUGAGAGGGUGAUCGGCCACACUGGAACUGAGACACGGUCCAGACUCCUACGGGAGGCAGCAGUAGGGAAUCUUCCGCAAUGGGCGAAAGCCUGACGGAGCAACGCCGCGUGAGUGAUGAAGGUCUUCGGAUCGUAAAACUCUGUUAUUAGGGAAGAACAAAUGUGUAAGUAACUAUGCACGUCUUGACGGUACCUAAUCAGAAAGCCACGGCUAACUACGUGCCAGCCGCCGCGGUAA